rnacentral:lncRNA from 1 species
AAUGAAGUAUCAUUUGAUUUCAAAAUAGAUAGUAGCAACAAUCUCAAUGAGUUCUACAAUUGAAAAGACAGCAGCAGCAACUAGACUCAGAAAAUCACGAAACCAUACUCCCAUAUCACAACUCACAAUUGACAAUACGGAAGAGCAAAAUCUCAUAUCACAACUCUCAAUUGACAAUAGGGAAGUGCAGUGGAAAGCACAAGUUUCAGAGGCUGCCAGGAUCUAAUCAUCUCCGCCGCCAUGCAACAAUGCUUCUUCUUCAGCCUCUCUCUCUCUCUUCGCCCGCAGUGGGAAUCGAACUGAAAAUCUGCUAACUAUUAGGGCAUAAUGUAGGCAUAUUGAUGAAAUGUAGUGUAAAAUGGAGAUGGUGAUUGAAAUAUAAAGGGGGCAGGGGAAGGGGCAGAUCGGAAUGGGAAAAGUAUGGUCAAUUCCUAAGCUUUGCCAUGUUUGGGGUGAGAUUUGAUGUGGCAGGCUUUUAUGUUGGCUGUGUUUCUACAAUUCCCAAACUCAGCCAUCACCCCACCACCAACUCCCUCCUCCCUGCCCCUUCCUCUGCACAACACACAUACACACCCUCUCUCUCUCACACACACACACAAACACUCUCUCUUUGUACCCGCUUCGCCAGAAAAAUGAGAAUUAAUCCAGAAAAUCAAAUAUUAAAAUCCUCAAUCCAGGAUCUGCAUCAUACCCGCUACGCCAACAUUCUGCCUCUGAAUCGCGCUCCGUCUCUGCGGCGCUCAUCCACGAGCUGCUGCCGAUGGUGAAGUUCUCUAAUUUGGCAGCAGGGGCUGGAGAAAUCUGCAAUCUGCAUGGACGAAUUCCACGACGAGGAUAAGAUCCGACAACUGGCGAAUUGUCGGCACAUAUUCUACUGGAGCUAC